rnacentral:rRNA from 1 species
GGGCCCGCACAAGCAGUGGAGUAUGUGGUUUAAUUCGAAGCAACGCGAAGAACCUUACCAGGGCUUGACAUCCUACUAACGAAGCAGAGAUGCAUUAGGUGCCCUUCGGGGAAAGUAGAGACAGGUGGUGCAUGGUUGUCGUCAGCUCGUGUCGUGAGAUGUUGGGUUAAGUCCCGCAACGAGCGCAACCCCUAUUGUUAGUUGAUACAUUUAGUUGAUCACUCUAGCGAGACUGCCGUUGACAAAACGGAGGAAGGUGGGGACGACGUCAAAUCAUCAUGCCCCUUAUGUCCUGGGCUACACACGUACUACAAUGGCGGUAAUACAGAGGGAAGCAAUAUAGUGAUAUGGAGCAAAUCCCUAAAAAUCCGCCUCAGUUCAGAUCGUAGGCUGCAACUCGCCUACGUGAAGUCGGAAUUGCUAGUAAUCGCGGAUCAGCAUGCCG